CCGCUCCCGCUGCUAUACCCGCUCCUGCUCCUACGGGUCCUCCGGGAGUGAUGAGUGUUGCGGAGUUGGUUCGACAGCCCGGUCGUGACCAUCUUCCCUAUCUCACUGAGUAUCCACAUGGACAUGGUCAAACAUGGUAAUUAAACUUUUAUUUUUUUUCCUUAAAAUUUGAUUGAUUAUUAAUAAUUUGUUCUUUUUAUUAGGUUCAACCGAUCCGGCAACGGGAUCAGCGCAUGGAUCAACCGUAUGAUGUACUCUGCCCUCGACAAGGGACAUCCGACUUUCACUCACUUCCCCGUCGAGAAGCAGCAUCUGUGGUUUCGUCAGUUUGAGGUAAGUAUUCAAAUUUUUUACUUAUAUUUUUUAUUUAUUAAAACUAUUUUUUGUGAUUAUUAAACUAUUUUCUAUAUUUAUUAAACAUUUUAAAUAUUUUAAAAACUAUUUUUUUAAUUAUUAAACUAUUUUUUAUUUAUUAAAACUUUUUUUUUGUAAUUAUUAAACUAUUUUCUAUAUUUAUUAAACUAUUUUUUAUUUAUUAAAACUAUUUUUGUAAUUAUUAAACUAUUUAUAUUUUUGUGCUUAAAAACUAUUUUUAAACUAUUUCAGCAAGAAUUCAACUGGAAUUCCGAUGAUACGCUCUCUAUCUAUAACCAUUUUGUCCAUAAAGUUAUGGACAACUAUGGGAAGCAGAUGUACGAGUGGAAGAAGAAGUGGGAAGUAAACAAGGUAGUUUUUAAUUUAUUAACAAUUUUUAAUUUAUUAAACUAUUUUUUAAAUUAUUAAACUUUUUUUUUUAAAAAAUUAAAAGUUCCCAAAGUCGAUGAACGACACGGUAUGGAAGGAGUUGUGUGAGCAUUGGGAUAAGGAAGAGACGAAAGAAACUUCUUCCACCAACUCCAACAACCGCAGGAGCGACCGUAAAGGGAAGGGCAUCUACAAGCAUAACUUGGGUGCCCAAUCUAUUGCCACUCUCGCGGAUCGCAUGGUAAGUUCAACCGCUUUUUCUUUAAUUAUUUAAGUUUCAGAAUUUUAUUUUUUAUGCAUUUUUUCAAAUUUCUAAUGUUUGUUUAAUUUAUUUUUUUUUCAAGGCGGAAGAAAAUGAGGGCGAGCCGGUUGAUGAUCUCGCCCUAAUGAAAAGGACGUAUACCAACAAGAAGACCGGUCAGAUUGAUGAUGGUCUUGUGAGGGAGGUGGUCGACCUGGUCCAAACUCAGGUGUACGACGAAGUAUCUCAGCUUCAAACCGAUGAUGACGACUCGACGGCUUCGACCAACUUGUCCCGGGUUCGAAUCGAAUCGGUAAGUUUUUUUUUUAAAAGUUCAAUUUAUUUAUUUCUUGAUUUUUAUUUUAUCAUCAAUUUAUAUUAUCUAAAUUUAGUUUUUUAUAUUUCAGUCGGUUCCAAAGAAGAAGGGACGUAUGGUCGGUUUGGGUCGUCGCUCCCGGUCGGCUGCUCCUUCUUCUGCACCACCGCCAUAUGUUGAUCCGGAAGUUCUUACGGCUCAGCUGAAGGACAAGGAUGAUCGGAUAUCUGCGUUGGAGACCCAGAUGGCAGCUCAACAGGCGGGCUAUGAGACCCAGAAGAGGCUCAACGAGCAGAUGAUGGAGAUGAUGAAGAGGAUGUACCCGAACGAGGUGUUCCCGAACAUCCAAGACCCGUAGUUUUUUUUUUUUUUUACCAAAAACUCUGAAUGUUUUAUUUAACUUUGAAUAUUAUCUACUAUGUUUUAUUUAAUGUUUUAUUCAAUUUUAAUUUUAAUUUUAAAUUUUUAAAUUUAAAUUUAAAAAAUUUAAAUUUUUUUAAAAAAAAUAAAUUUUUUCGAAAUUCCGAGGGAAUGGAGUUCCUCGGAAAAUUCCGAGGGAGUUUUGUCCCUCGGAAUUUUCCGAGGAACUCCAUUCCCUCGGAAAAUUCCGAGGGAAAUAUGUUCCUCGAAAUUUUCCGAUAAACAUUCCGAGGAAUGUUUUGUCGAAACUUCCGAGGAUUUGACCAUCGGAAUUCCAUCGGUAUAUUCCGAGGAACCUUCCGACGAACAUAUGUUUCUCGGAGUUUCC
rnacentral:lncRNA from 1 species